GUGGGGAAUAUUCCGCAAUGGACGAAAGUCUGACGGAGCAACGCCGCGUGAGUGAUGAAGGUUUUCGGACUGUAAAGCUCUGUCAUCAGGGACGAACGGCCGGUGGAGUGGAAAGCCACCGGAUUGACGGUACCUGAGAAGGAAGCCACGGCUAACUACGUGCCAGCAGCCGCGGUAAUACGUAGGUGGCAAGCGUUGUCCGGAAUUAUUGGGCGUAAAGCGCGCGCAGGUGGGAUCUUAAGUCCAUUUUUAAAGUUCGGAGCUCAACUCCGUGAUGGGAUGGAAACUGGGAUUCUUGAGUACCGGAGAGGAAAGCGGAAUUCCCCGUGUAGCGGUGAAAUGCGUAGAUAUGGGGAGGAACACCAGUGGCGAAGGCGACUUUCUGGACGAAAACUGACGCUGAGGCGCGAAAGCCAGGGGAGCGAACGGGAUUAGAAACCCGAGUAGUCC
rnacentral:rRNA from 1 species